GGCGCGGUCUGCGGCGGGGGCGGGAUGCCGCGACCCUCGCGCACCGGGUCUUGCAUCGAGGUGCUCCGCGGGAAGCGCCCUUCCAGCAGGGACGCCAGCUUCUCGUCCUCCCCUGCGGACGGAAGGGCCGGUGAGACCAGCCAGGGCGCUGGGCGGGGAGGGGUGGUGCUGCCUUCGGAGAGGCUCCUGGGGACCCCGGCACCCCCUCCCGCAGAGGCCAGCCUUGCCCCGACUCCACCCCGGGGAAGCCACCGUCCGGACACAAUGGACGCCCGCGGCAGAACCCGGCGCGAGGAGCUAGAAUGCUCGGGAAAAUGGGGUUGGGGCCAGUGGUGGCCGGGAAAUGGAGGGCAGGGGAGAAACAGGGAGCCCAGAGCACGGGCUCCGAGGCAGACCCUGGUCUGGGUUGGUCCCUGGAUGCCCAAGCUCUGUGCCCCAGGCCCAGGGCUGCACGGGGAGGGCUCUUGUGAAGAGGACAGGAGAGAGGUGUGCGUUCAGUUACAGGAUGGAGGAGGGCCCCACCGGGGACCCCCGAGAAAGGACACAAACUCUGACGACCUGGGUUGGGGCCAAGACCUGCCCAAACCCAGGGUCAUCAAGCAGGCCCUGAGAAGAUAUCCCAGGAAGGCAGGGACAGCCCUGCAAGACAUGGGGACAGAACUGCUGAGGGGCUUGGAGGGGCCAGUACAGGGCUCCCCACCCCAGAAUGAACAAGUCCGACGCAGAAGUACCAGCCCGGGAGGCAACCAGAGGCGAGAGGAAGAUGGUCGGAAAUGAGCAGGAGGGACACACCGGCAGGGUGAGGGGCAGCAGGGCUGUGGCCACUGGAGCCAGGCCUCCGGCAGAGAAAGACCUAAGGCCCACCCAGGUAAGGAGGUGCUCUGUGGAAGAAGCCUUGAGAGGCUCCUCCCAGAGACCCACAUGGGUGGGUGAUGCAAACACAGUGGCUGAAAUUCAGUAAGGUUGGGUGAGUGGGUGAAGGGAAGAAUGGAUGGAUGAAUUAAAAUGGAACUGCAGGCUGAGCACCCAGCACGUUUCAUUUUAACCCCUACUGGCAGCGUGACCCCAGGCCAGGCCCUGAGCCCCUUUGAGCUUCAGUUCUUUCAUGGUCAAAACAGGCUUAAAAUGAACUCCCCUCUGCAUGCCUUGCUCAGACGUCAUUGUUAGGAUCCUGUGCAAGGGCUGGAGUGCUCAGGGCCCUCAUGAUCCUGCUGUCCAGCCAGAACCUGACACAACCUCCUGAGCACCCCUGUGGACAUCAUGAUGUGGAUACACGUGCUGCAGGUGUGUUCAGUGAGGCUGCAGGGGGCAGAUGGCCCCACACCCACACACCCAGGUCUCGUGAUGCUCCUGUUCCCAGCCUCACUCAGAUUGGUCAACAUUUUUAUGAACUCGCUAAAAUACAGACUGCCUGUUCCUGAUCGCAUCCUCCUCCAGCCACCGCAGUGCUAAUGAGGCCUCCAAUACUACACUGCUUCUUGCUGGGCAUAAUAUCUCUUUGUAGCCAAGGUACCAAGGGUGGGCUUUUGUGUACAGACCUAGGCUUGAAUUUUAGAUCUGCCAGGAACUUCAGAAGCUUCUAGGAACUUCAGUUUCCUCAUGUCAAGAGGACAGCCUGCAACUAUUGUGAGGCAAUUUCACCUUUACAGUACAGGGCUGAACUGCAGCAGUAUCCUGGGAAUGGGGGAAGGGGGCCGAGGUCAUCAUCAUCGUGAUUUUUAGGUCUGCCUUCCCCCCAUCCCCAACCGCUGGACAGAGAAAUUGUGCCCAGUUCGUCCUGGGUCUCCUGCUGCAUUCCCUGCACUGUGUAUGAACGCGCAGUGAACACCCACAAGCCUAUGUGUUAGAUGGAGCGACACAGAACAAGCGCACCUUGAGGAUGUAGAAGGCGGGAGUGACGUGCAAAGAUGAAAUAAGGGGAAAUUUAAUGCUAAUAGCAUGCCAAGUUCUGACUUAGGGUCAUAGCAGAGAGCAUUUCUCGAGCACCGUGUGCCAACCUCAAGAAGCAGCAUCUACGUCUAACACUGGCGACUGGCUGCUGAGCACUCCCAGCAUGCCACAUGGUCCGUGAGUGCCGCCUACCGGGCGAGCCUCAGAGUGGUCCUUGGAGCUGAGGCCCAGCAGGCCAAGAGGAGCCAAAAAGGAGCACCUGUCCACCCAUCCAUCAACCGAGUGCAAGAGGAUGCCUGAGGGACCAGUGCAGAACGGGCAGUCCUAGGAGAGUGGCUCAAGGCCUGCAGGGUCGGGCCCAGGAACAGCAAGAGUCAGAAGACCCAGGUCAAGGGAGGCAGAGACAGAUGUUUCCAGAUGAAGCAGGAGAGCACUGGGGCCAAUCUCCAGGGCCCCAAGCACAUACAGGCCACUCUUGGCUACAUGUACCGCACUGGAAGGGAAGCUGUUCACAGCCCGAGGACAGACCCCGAUGUACAAGCAGGCUUCCACAAAAUAUCAAAGUGACUUGGAAACUCUGUUAAACUAAUACGUAUAUCUAAGGACCAUCAGAGCUCUGGCUGGAUGGCUCCCCCAGGACAUCAGUAGCUCUCGCCCCCUGUGGGUCCACUGAGGACCAGUGCGUGGAGCAUGCAGCCAGGGCUGGGGCAGCCCUCAUGUCCACCUGGCUGCUGCACCCGCCCUCUCAUUCAGCAGCCCCACUGCACCCCACCCAUCACUCAGGCUCCACCCAACCCCAGGCCCUUCUCCACUCUUUGGGGCUAUGCCAACCCUAGAGGGACGACUGUCUGGUCACACUUGUCUUGGCACCUUUCACUCUUGUCUUGGCUCCUUGUUGGAGAAUUUCAGUGGUCAGACUGGACACCUCCUACUCCUUCCAACUCCAAUCUGCAGCUGUUCACAGCACCUGCUGGUUCUACCUCUGCGAUCUGCUUCGCAUUGCUAGAAGGAAGUAAAUAACUCCCCAAGACUGUCCUGUACCCAACCCAGACCAGACCCACCCUGUACACUGACUCUGUCCUGACCUAACCUCUUUGUGACCUCUGUGUCCUCAUCAAUAAAACAGGCAUAAAAACAGCGCU